AAUGAACGCUGGCGGCGUGGUUAAGACAUGCAAGUCGAACGGGCUUUUCAAUGUAGCAAUACACUGGAAAGUCAGUGGCGAACGGGUGCGUAACACGUGAACAAUCUACCAUUUAGUGUGGAAUAGCUCGCCGAAAGGCGAAUUAAUACCGCAUGUGGUUGUUUUCCUCAUGGAAGACAUACUAAAGUCAGGGACCGCAAGGCCUGACGCUAAUUGAGGAGUUCGCGGCCUAUCAGCUAGUUGGCGAGGUAACGGCUCACCAAGGCUAAGACGGGUGGCUAGUCUAAGAGGAUGAUCAGCCACACUGGAACUGAAACACGGUCCAAACCACUACGGGUGGCAGCAGUUUCGAAUCAUUCACAAUGGGCGAAAGCCUGUCGGUGCGACGCCGCGUGAGGGAUGAAGGUCUUCGGAUUGUAAACCUCUGUCACUGGGGAGAAAACGCUUUGAGUUAAUAGUUCAAAGCCUGAUUUAACCCGGAGAGGAAGCAGUGGCUAACUCUGUGCCAGCAGCCGCCGUAACAC
rnacentral:rRNA from 1 species